rnacentral:rRNA from 1 species
AUUGAACGCUGGCGGCAGGCCUAACACAUGCAAGUCGAACGAGUGGCGGACGGGUGCGUAAUGUCUGGGAAACUGCCUGAUGGAGGGGGAUAACUACUGGAAACGGUAGCUCAUACCGCAUACCAUCGGAUGUGCCCAGAUGGGAUUAGCUAGUAGCUGGGGUAAAGGCUCACCUAGGCGACGAUCCCUAGCUGGUGUGAGAGGAUGACCAGACACGCUGAAACUGAGAUCCGGUCCAGACUCCUACGGGGGUCAGCAGUGGGGAAUAUUGCAAAAUGGGCGCAAGCGUGAUUCAGCCAUGCCGCGUGUAUGAAGAAGGCCUUCGGUUUGUAAAGUACUUUCAGCGGGGAGGCGUUACCCGCAGUAGAAGCUACGGGUGACUCCGUGCCAGCCGCCGCGGUAAUAC